rnacentral:rRNA from 1 species
UUUAAGCAUGCAAGUCGAGCGGUAACUGCCUUCGGGUGUAGACGAGCGGCGAACGGGUGAGUAAUGAAAAGCUAUCUGCCCAUCAGACUGGAAUAGCCCAGGGAAACUUGGAUUAAUGCCGGAUAUGAGGAAACUUGAAAGGUGCGUUUGCACCACAGGUGGAUGAGGCUUUUUCCUAUUAGCUUGUUGGUGAGGUAAUGGCUCACCAAGGUGAUGAUAGGUAGCCGGCCUGAGAGGGUGAUCGGCCACAUUGGGACUGAGAUACGGCCCAGACUCCUACGGGAGGCAGCAGCUAAGAAUAUUCCGCAAUGGGGGAAACCCUGACGGAGCAAUCUCUCAUGGAUGAUGAAUGUCUUCGGAUUGUAAAAUCCUUUCGGCAAGGAAGAAUGUGUAGAGUAGGAAAUGGCUUUGCAUUGACGGUACUUGCAGAAGAAGUCCCGGCUAACUACGUGCCAGCAGCCGCGGUAAUACGUAGGGGGCAAACGUUGUUCGGAAUCACUGGGCGUAAAGGGUAUGUAGGUUGUUAAGUAAGUAAAAGGUGAAAUCCCAAAGCUCAACUUUGG